rnacentral:snoRNA from 1 species
CGCCCUUUCCUGUGCCCUUUUAAGGUUGUCGCAGUACUUUAAGAGGCUAACACAGAAGGGUAAAGGAACUCUCCAUAAAACCCAGAGAGGAAAACUACACCUCCUCUUUGGAUCCUGUCUGGAGUCACAAAU